AACGAACGCUGGCGGCAUGCCUAACACAUGCAAGUCGAACGAAACCUUCGGGUCUAGUUGCGCACGUGUGCGUAACGCGUGGGAACCUGCCCUUAGGUUCGGUAUAACUCCCCGAAAGGGGUGCUAAUACCGGUUAAUCUCUUCGCACCAAAGAUUUAUCGCCUUUGGAUGGGCCCGCGUUGGAUUAGCUAGUUGGUAGGGUAAAAGCCUACCAAGGCGACGAUCCAUAGCUGGUCUGAGAGGAGGAUCAGCCACACUGGGGAUGGGACACGGCCCAGACGCCUACGGGAGGGAGCAGUGGGGAAUAUUGGACAAUGGGCGAAAGCCUGAUCCAGCAAUGCCGGGUGAGUGAUGAAGGGCUUAGGGUUGUAAAGCUCUUUUACACGGGAUGAUAAUGACAGUACCGGGAGAAUAAGCACCGGCUAACUCCGUG
rnacentral:rRNA from 1 species